AAUAUAUUCGACGUUCUUUUUUUUUUCUGUUAUCUUUCUCGUACGCCUGCAAAUGAUAUAAAUGACUGCGUCCGCGAAUUUGAACACUGAGAGUCUUUGUGCGCAGCGGCUAUGGUGAAUGUUUGCAGAUUAAAUAUUUUGGUAGCGUUUAUGGCGAUUACUUUCAUUUUGCUUCCCAUGCAAGAAACAGGCCAGUGCUACGCUCUCCCGAGCCCACGCCACAAGGCAGUUCGUGGAGGAGCUUCCGGAAACCGAAAUAGGGGUGCUACUCGGCGCUCUACAACUACACGCAGGUUCAACGGCCAGUUUCCUAAGGGCUAACCAUGCUGGUGGUGCAUGUUACUGAAAGCAUUGAAGAGAGGCAACAGGUGAGAAAAAGCAAAUUCGACGAAACCAUAUCAAUCUACCGACGGAUCAUAGACCUCAAGUUCACAAAAGUUUUGAUCACAAUACGAGCCAUUAUCGUCAAUGGGAAAAAUAAUUUUUUUUGCAGUCAUCGAU
rnacentral:lncRNA from 1 species